CCAUGGAAAGUUAACCUAUUAGUUCGUGUUUGCCGGCCCAAAAUUGGUCCAGAUCUUUUUAGCCAGAACUGAACCAAAACAGUGCC